GUAAUUCCAGCUCCAAUAGCGUAUAUUAAAGUUGUUGCAGUUAAAAAGCUCGUAGUUGAACCUUGGGUCUGGCUGGCCGGUCCGCCUCACCGCGAGUACUGGUCCGGCUGGACCUUUCCUUCUGGGGAAUCUCAUGGCCUUCACUGGCUGUGGGGGGAACCAGGACUUUUACUGUGAAAAAAUUAGAGUGUUCAAAGCAGGCCUUUGCUCGAAUACAUUAGCAUGGAAUAAUAGAAUAGGACGUGCGGUUCUAUUUUGUUGGUUUCUAGGACCGCCGUAAUGAUUAAUAGGGAUAGUCGGGGGCGUCAGUAUUCAGCUGUCAGAGGUGAAAUUCUUGGAUUUGCUGAAGACUAACUACUGCGAAAGCAUUCGCCAAGGAUGUUUUCAUUAAUCAGGGAACGAAAGUUAGGGGAUCGAAGACGAUCAGAUAC
rnacentral:rRNA from 1 species